CCGAAGAAGGACGGGACUAACACCGAUAUGCUUUGGGGAGCUGUACGUAAGCGUUGAUCCAGAGAUUUCCGAAUGGGGGAACCCACUAUCUUUAGUCGGAUAGUAUCCUUACGUGAAUACAUAGCGUGAGGAAGGCAGACCCAGGGAACUGAAACAUCUAAGUACCUGGAGGAAGAGAAAGAAAAAUCGAUUUCCUGAGUAGCGGCGAGCGAAACGGAAAGAGCCCAAACCAAGAAGCUUGCUUCUUGGGGUUGUAGGACACUCUAUACGGAGUUACAAAAGAAAGUUAUAAAUGAAGCGGUCUGGAAAGGCCCGCCAAAGACGGUAACAGCCCGGUAGUUGAAAUGGCUUUCCCUCCAGAGUGGAUCCUGAGUACGGCGGAACACGUGAAAUUCCGUCGGAAUCCGGGAGGACCAUCUCCCAAGGCUAAAUACUCCCUAGUGACCGAUAGUGAACCAGUACCGUGAGGGAAAGGUGAAAAGCACCCCGGAAGGGGAGUGAAACAGUUCCUGAAACCGUGUGCCUACAAGUAGUUAGAGCCCGUUAAUGGGUGAUAGCGUGCCUUUUGUAGAAUGAACCGGCGAGUUACGAUUUGUUGCAAGGUUAAGCGGAAAAAGCGGAGCCGUAGCGAAAGCGAGUCUGAAUAGGGCGCAUAAGUAACAGGUCGUAGACCCGAAACCAGGUGAUCUACCCAUGUCCAGGAUGAAGGUAAGGUAAUACUUACUGGAGGUCCGAACCCACGCACGUUGAAAAGUGCGGGGAUGAGGUGUGGGUAGCGGAGAAAUUCCAAUCGAACUUGGAGAUAGCUGGUUCUCUCCGAAAUAGCUUUAGGGCUAGCCUCGAGGUAAAGAGUCAUGGAGGUAGAGCACUGUUUGGACUAGGGGCCCUUCUCGGGUUACCGAAUUCAGAUAAACUCCGAAUGCCAUGUACUUAUACUCGGGAGUCAGACUGCGAGUGAUAAGAUCCGUAGUCGAAAGGGAAACAGCCCAGACCACCAGUUAAGGUCCCCAAAUAUAUGUUAAGUGGAAAAGGAUGUGGGGUUGCUUAGACAACCAGGAUGUUGGCUUAGAAGCAGCCACCAUUGAAAGAGUGCGUAAUAGCUCACUGGUCGAGUGACCCCGCGCCGAAAAUGUACCGGGGCUAAACAUAUUACC
rnacentral:rRNA from 1 species